GGAUGUGGCUCAGUUGUAGAGCUCUUGCCUUCUAUGCACAAGGUCCUGGGUUCAAUCCCCAGCACCA
rnacentral:tRNA from 1 species